UCUCCCACAAUGCAUUCCAUGACGUCACAUGAGGUACUCGUUGUGGGACGACAGAGGAAAGGCCGCCUUGAUACCAUUGAGAGAGACGACGAUUAACUUAGUGAGAGUAGCAGCUAGUGAGAGAGUAACAGUGUCAGAUAUAUAAGUAAAUAUAAAGAUAGAGAUAGCCUAGAUAGAUAGAUAUAUAGAGGUAGAUAGAGAUAUAGAUAGAUAGAUAGAUAGUGAGAGAGAGAGAGAGAGAGAGAGAGAUAGCAUAGAUAGAUAGUAGUGAGAGAUAGCAUAGCAUCAUAACAUAGAUAGCUGAUGGAGAGAGGGAGAGAGUAGAUAUAUAAAUAAAUAGAUAACAUGGUUUACUACUGUGUUUGUGCCAGGUGCAAGAACUCCAGCAAAACUGGACUUAGGGCCCAUUGCUUCCCCAAGGACAAAGGGAUCUUCCGAAGCUAGGUGCAAUUUGUCAAGGUUAGGUGGGCGGAUUUUUCAGCUAGCUCUGUCACCGCCUUCUCGAGAAUAUGCAGCGCGCAUUUCAAGGAGGAGGAUUACCACUCAGGGGAUGCCAAGAUGGUCUCACUUGGUUUAAAGAGUGAGAGGAUGGCGAAGUUCAUUCCUACCGCUGUGCCGUCUGUGCAUGCAAACCUCUCUGACUGCCCUGUCCCGAGGUCCAGAGACACCGUCUGCCGCAAGCGAGAUAUUGUCACGAUGUUGACAGACGCCUCACAGCAGGAGACCAUGGACAGUGUGAUACUGGGGAUCAGCCCUUGCCCACCUCCACUUCUGAUGCUGGGACACAGGUGUACCAGGCUGGCUUUAGUCUGUUGGUUUGUGAUGUCAUCAUAUUUGAGUGUUAUACUGUAUUGGUCAUGUGUGUUUCAUUCAAGUUUCUUUUUUUACAUAUCUAGGUCGGUGUAUCUUUCUUUCUGUCCCUUUCAUCUCAUUUGGUGGUGGUUCCCUGCAUGUUGCAUGUUUUGUUUUGUCUUUGUGUGCUGUUGCUUUGUUUUAUACUUUGCACAAAAUCAUUACUUUUUCUCGUCUUUGUAAGUGGUAAUAAUUGUCGCUGUACCCCAUUCAAGGGGUGCUGCAUGUCUGCUCCUCUGUCUGUGUGCUUGGAUUUUCUUUUUUGUUGUUAUUUGCAUGAAAUUUCUUGUAUGUAAUUCAAAAUAAUUUACCAAUCAUUUUACCUGUGCCUUGUCAACUUCUGUGUGCGGUGUUAUCUGGGCUCACUGUGUGUCUGCUUGAUGUGCUUUUGCAUGUAUCACUGCAUGUAUGCAUGCAUGAAAUAUCAUGGGUUUGUGUGUGAGAAAGGGAACCAUCAGCUGACCCUCAGGUAAGACCACAAUAUUGCACACGUUUCGCGUCUAGCCCUUCAUCAGUGUUCCUUGUAUGUUUUGUGCCUAACCAUUUUUUUAUAGAGAUUUGUUUACUUCCAACCUGUGUCUUUGUCCUUGUUCAGUAAAUGUUUAAAUGUUCAGUAACCAUUACAAGCAAUGCCAAUAAACUGUUUUUUUU